AAAUCACCGCUAUAAUUUUAACGGAGCGCACAUUGCGUUGCGUACAUAAUUAUACCACUUCUCCCUUCCAAGGAGAAAUCAACGCCUAACUCCUUCACGCCAUUCUCUCUCCUCCUUCCUCCCCAAUUUCUUCUCGUCGCCGGCGAAAUCAAGGUGAUUUUCCGCUGUUAUUGAGAUUAUUGUUUCGGAAACGGGCUUAAAUUGGAUAAUUAGGUUUUGAAUUGUUUGUGCUUAAUUGAAGCAGAGUUAGGUGAUUGAUUGAUUAAUUUGAGUAGUAUGAUCAUCAGCUAUGAUUCAAGUAGAAUUGUAGGUGAUGAAGAAUUUGUUUGAGAGAACUGGUACUGCAAAUUCAACAUCUGGUACUAGUUCUUCUUCAAAUUCCCCUAAAUUUAAUUGCAUUUCUUCUAAUUCUUCCGAUCACAAGUCUUCAUCAUCGUCAUCUUCAUCAACUAAGGCUUCUUCGUUGUUGUCUGGAAUUGUUGUUUCCGCUUUCUCGAUUUUCGAGCCUCGUGUGGAGGAGGGUGUAAAUCCGAGUUCGAAUUUGAGUUUGAGUUCGAGUUCUUCUCGUGAGAAGAAGGGGGUUGGAACUAAGACUAAGAUUAGUACUAGUUGUAGUGGUAGUAAUGGGUGGGCGGCUGCUGUAAAGAGGGUCAUGGCGAGUGGAUCGAUGAGGAGGAUUAGGGAGUCCAUGUUUGGGUUUAAUAAGUCUAGUGCUGUCACUUCUACAAGUGAUAUUUGGUUGUUGGGUGUUUGUUAUAAACUUGAUGAUGCAAUUGGUGGUGAUCCUGUUAGUAGCAGUGGCUUUGCUGCAUUUGUCGAGGAUUUCUCAUCGAGGAUUUUGAUGACAUAUAGGAAAGGGUUUGAUGCCAUUGGGGAUUCAAAGUAUACUAGUGAUGUUAAUUGGGGUUGCAUGCUUCGAAGCAGUCAAAUGCUUGUUGCCCAAGUGUUGUUGGUUCAUCGGUUUGGGAGGUCUUGGAGGAAAUCUGUGAAUAAGCAAAUUGAUCAAGGGUACAUUGAAAUCCUACACGAUUUUGGUGAUUCUGAAGAAUCAGCAUUCUCUAUCCACAAGAUUCUAGAAGCUGGCAAGGGUUAUGGCCUUGCUGCUGGGUCAUGGAUAGGUCCCUAUGCCACAUGCCGUGCAUGGGAAACUCUGGCCCGCACUGGUAAAUCAUUGCCAAUGGCAGUCUAUAUUGUUUCUGGUGAUGAAGAUGGUGAACGAGGUGGGGCUCCUGUUGUCUGUGUAGAAGAUGUAUCUGGUUGCUGCCGUGAGCAUUCAUGUGAUGGAGCUGAUUGGACGGCUAUUCUGCUUCUGGUUCCUCUUGUACUUGGUCUUGAUAAACUUAAUCCCAGCAGGUAUGUUCCUUUAUUGGGUGCUACAUUUACGUUUCCUCAAAGUCUUGGCAUUUUGGGUGGGAAGCCUGGUGUUUCAACUUACAUUGUUGGCGUCCAAGAUGAAAAUGUGUUUUAUCUUGAUCCCCAUGAUGUUCAACAGGUGACUAAUAUUACAAAAACUGACCUAGAGGCUGAUACUUCAUCAUUCCACAGCAAUGUGAUCAGGCAUAUUCCUUUGGAGUCUAUUGAUCCCUCAUUAGCGAUUGGAUUUUACUGCAGAGACAAAGAUGACUUUGAUGAUUUCUGCUCCCGAGCUUCUAAGCUAGCCAAUGAGUCAAAUGGCGCUCCUCUAUUUACUGUGACACAGAGCCGUAACUCCCCUAAGACAGCCAGUCAGCAUGAUAUAGGCGCUAGUGAAAACCGCGUAGAUGAUUCAUAUGAUAUGCUGCAUUCAAACGACGGGCAAGAGGACGAUUGGCAACUUCUCUGAAGAUGGAUGGUGCUGAUAGUUUAAAAUCUGAUUGGAACUGAAACAAUUGUGCAGGAGUUUGACAAGUUUACAUGUUUGUUUCGUGUUUGUCCAUUGAUUGUAUUCAACUAUUAUGAGGUUGGUUGAGUUUUAACUUUUAAGGCAUUCGGCUUCCUUUCCAGUCCACCCGUGUUCGACUCCUCAUCCGGUCAUCCCCUUCCUCUUGAGCAUUGCUAUGAUAGUUGUACUUCAUGGUGCUUUGUGUAAUUUAAUUUGUUUUAAGAAGUUGGUUUCUUCAGUGUAAAUAGGGGUUUAAAUUACUUGAAGUUGUUGGUUUUUUCUGUAAAUAAAGGCUUGCAAUAAAUUUUAUUGAUCUAGAAUUGGUACCUAUCCUAUUUAGGUUUUUUUUUCCUCCUUCGAGUAAAUAGGUUUGUUUUAUUACCAUUGCCCUGACACAUUUUUAAGUACAUAAAGACCUUGGCCUUUGUAAACUUGGAGUUUAAGAGUGAUCUUUUCGCUUUUCAGAAUUUAUAAGCCAUGAAUACAAAGAGUAAGUAUUACCCACUACCAUGGUAUGGGUAAUACUACCCAAUACCACAUUUUUUUUUUUCUUUUCCUUUUUUUUCCCCCUUUUCUCUUCAUCUUGUUCCUUACAUAAACCCUUUUCCCCACCUCCAUGGAUAGCUCCCAUUGCCGGCCAAACCUCCGCCCAACACACCUUUCACCUCCGACAGCAAGAAGCCCACCCCACCAGCUACUAUCUUGGUCGAAAUCCAAAAACACGCAACUACCUUCAUUAAAAAUCUCCAGAAACCACCCAAAAAAAUAUAACCCAAAAACU